GGUAUUCCAUUACCUUCUCAAGAACAAAAUGCUGUAGAUGCUGUUAUGCAGUAUGCUAUCAAUAGCUUGGGUUUCACUCCUGAUAACAUUGCUGUGUUUGCAUGGUCCAUUGGUGGAUAUACUGCUUCAUGGGUAGCAAUGAACUACCCAGACUUAAAAUACAUUGUAAUAGAUGCAACUUUUGACGAUGUUGUCCCAUUAGCUCAGGCAAGAAUGCCAGAAUAUUUUGAAAACUUUGUAGAGUUUACAGUUAGAUCAUAUCUUAAUUUAGAUAUAGCAGAACAGCUUAUCAGAUAUUCAGGUCCUGUACUUCUCAUAAGAAGAACCAGGGAUGAAAUGAUCACAACUAAGUCUGAUCCAACAGGAGUGAAACUAUACUCCAACAGAGGAAACUAUCUUCUAAUCAAGUUAUUACAACAUAGAUACCCUUGUAUAGUAGAUGAUAGUACCCUGGCUGUGUUAGCUGAUUGGUUAGCCAGGCUGAAACCUCAACAAGAGGACUUAUGGCAGACACAUGAGGUGGAUGAAGACGAAUGUUUAGCCAAAAUUAGAUCCUAUAUACGGAGCAACUCCGAUACAUUUCCUUGUAAUAUAGGAGAAGGCUAUUCUGAAGAAGAGAAAAAGAAAAUGACUUUAUACUUAGCUUCUCGUUACAUGGUCGACUUUGACUCCACACACUGUAACCCACUUCCAGCUUCGUUUUUCAAAACCCCCUGGACUCCAGACAGUGAAGACCAGCCUAAGUUUUUAUGACUAGAUUUACAUACAUCAGUGACUGCUCAAAGCAUUGAACGACUGUAGUUGAUCCUAUUCCUAUACACUGUUGAACAGUGUUAGAGAGAGAGAAAAAAAAUCACAAAUUGAUCUCCAUUGCUGUGGAACAAAUUACAUGUAUGAUGUAUAAAUGUUGUCAUUUUAUACACUUUUCCAUAUUUUAGUAAUCAAUGAAGAAUUUUAUAUGUAUUUAUUUCUUGUUUGUCAGAAAUUGCUAGUAAAAAGAGAUUUUCAAAAUGU
rnacentral:misc_RNA from 1 species